CCGAAGACAAAUAUUCCGUCAGGCACUUCAUUUUGACCAUUGUCAAAGCGCACUCCUCCUUGUCCGUCAGGUUCCCGCGAAAAGAAUUGACAAUCGAAACCCAUCCCUUCUUUUCCUCUAAUUUUUCCGCCCAUCCAAACAGAAGCGCCGUCGCCUCAGACGCUAACCAAGGCGGAGCUUCAUGACUCUCGACCUACUACAUGAUCAUAGUUACUCCUCAUAUUUUAUCAGCGGCAGGAUCCCUUUGUUUGGCAGGCUUAAGGUGAUGGUCACCAGAUUACAGGCUGAAUGAAAAAUUCUUCUAUUGGUAGAAGAUGUGAGAUGAGAUGUUGCUGUUACCUAGGUUAGCUGCUAAAGCCCUUCGGUAAUUUUUCUAAGGACCUAGAAAUGAAUCCCACAUUCGCCAUGGUCGGGGGAGCUACCCCACUGUGUCUAGCUCAGUCAUUGCUAAAAAAAAAUGAGUCUUGUGUUGACAAAAAUGCAUAUAUGAGUCUCACACAGUGAAAAGAAAGGGAAAAAAAUGGUUAACUUUUUUAUUUAGUAAUUGUGCUUCCUUCAAGUAGGUUGUUGAUUAAGUAUAAACCUGCUAUUGAAAUAUAUGUUUACUACAAGCUUGUGUGGUGCCCUUCUUUGGCAGCGUAAUGCUAGAAAGAAAAUUUUCCCUAGUACUUUGAGAUCUCAGGUAUGAAAGUAGCUUGCUCACAUAAAAGAACCAUACAAUCAGCUUUAUUGUUAAUUUUGUUUUUUUUUUGUUUGCAAUUUAUUACCGGAAACUCUGGUCAGAGAAAAUUAACACUUGAAAGCUUACUUCAGGCCAGAUUCCCUGACCAAAUAUUUCAAAAAUUGUAGUACAGGAUACUAUAAAGAAACAAUGGCUGGGGCAUUCCGAGAAUCGAACUCGGGACCUCUCGCACCCAAAGCGAGAAUCAUACCACUAGACCAAAUGCCCAGUUGAUAGCUAUGGGGUAUUUUUAAUAUAAUUAUGAGGUAUUUUCUCCAAGGAUUCCUGCUAAUGUUAAGUAACUGGAAUCAUCCCAAGAGCAUCAAUGUUUUAUUUGCUAGAGUGGGGUGCUAGAGGCUUGUAAAUUGGAUUUAGACUUGAGCUUUGGUUGAAGCUUUUUGCCAUUAUUAAAUAUUGAUGAUGGUUUAUACUACGUAAUUCGGGUUAUGGAUCACUAAGAAAACCAGACAGUUAUGGGUGAUGAAUAUUAGACAAUUAUGCAUUCUUUCCUUAGUUUAAUGAUUAAGUCUAGAUUGUUUUGUGGCCUGUUUCUGCUAUAGAAAUACAUGGUUAAGUGCUUCAAAAUGAUUAAAAGAUUGGCAUGCAGGACAAUUAACUAUGCAGGAAUCUUAUGCAAAAUGCCAUGUCCUAGUAACCGUUUCUCUAUGGGGCCUGCAAGAUGAGCAUUAAAAUCUUCCAAUCAUACAAGUGGAGCUAACGGCUUCAGAGGGUAAAGUUCAUUCGGCAAUUGUUCUCACCUUGGUUCUUAUCCUGGCUUCACUAUGAGUUGGAGGAGUAUGGUUGCAAGGGCAGAGGCUUAAGGAGAGGAAAGUUCUAUUCCACAGUCUGUAGCUUGCCCAUUGAGUCAGAAUGAUAAACAAAAACUUCUCAUCUGGAGGCAGAAAAUUUAUUUUCUAUUUGCCAAUUUUGCUUAUCUUUUAUUUGUGUUUUUUUUUUAAUUAAGUUUUUUAACCUGUUCUUCAGAACUAUGUUCAUUCCAUUGUUUUGUGUGGCCCUUUAUUUUUCAGGGUUAAGGCAAAUUUCCUUUUUCUAAUGACUGCAGUUGCAGGUAUGUCAUUAGCUUGCCCACAUGCAAAAAUAGCAUAUGCACCUUAUUUAUUUAUUAUUUAAUUUUGGAACUUAUUUUAAGGAAUUUGUCAGAAAAUGGACCAAUCUGAAGUUGAUAAAUUUCUUUUUUAUACUCUUCUGGUUGACUUUUAAUCAGAUUCAUCAGAUAAAAAUUUUCAAGGUAUAGGGAACAGAAAAAGAUGCAAGGGAGAGGGGCAUUCCAAGGAUUGAACUUGGGACCUCUUGCACCUAAAGCGAGAAUCAUACCACUAAACUAAAUGUCCACUUUCUGAUAUCAAAUUUCUAAUCAGUUAGCUCUUUUUCUCCUUGGAUUUAUGUUAAAUUCAAUGGCACAUCUCAAGAGGACUGAGGUUUUGCACUCUCUCUUUAUGCUUGUAUUAUUUUCUUGCUAUGGUGGGUGCCAGAGGCUUUCAAAAUUUGAUUUCUACUACAAUAUUGAUACUGGUUGAUACUUCUUAAUUCAGAAUAUUGAUCAACUAGAAGCCUAAACAUCCAUGGGGUUAUGAUUGUCCUAGAGUUUUUUUUUUUCUUUUUUUCUUUUUGAUGAAAUAUGUGACCCUGAAAACAUACUUUGCAAGUUAUAAUGCUGUAAGAAUAUUUAUAUUAAACCGCAAAAAUGGUUGAAAAGGAGCCUAGACAACAGUUAGGCAGUUUAUGGCCCAAAGAAAAAAAAAAUUAGGCAGCUCUGCAUAAACCGGAUCACAAGAUAAAAUGUCAUAAUAACAUGUUUUUUGUGGGGCCUUUCAGGUUGAAUGCAAAAAUAUUUUAUUGAUAUGAGAGGUGCUGAUUAGUUUGGCCAGUAAGGUUUUUGGUGGUUGAAUUCUUCCUUCAACGUGGAAAGGGAGUGGGGAGAUGGGAGGAGAAAUAUAGGGAAGGGGAAAGCUAAUCCCAUGUGUUUUAGCCUGGCCAUUAGAUCAAGAUCAAAGAAAAGCAGCAGUCUUGAAUUGAUAGAAAAGAUGAAAACUCACUGAGACAAGGAAAAUGUAUUUGGCUUUUCUAGUCACUGAUUUUGCUUGCCUAUAAAUAAGAAUUGUCAGUUAAGUAUUUUCAUCUGCUCUUCAAAUGUGUAGAUUCUAUGUGUACUUGGUGCCCUUUGCCUGGCAGGUUUAAGGCGGAUUUCUUGUUUUUCUUAUGACUAUGAGAUUAAAGGUACGAGGAUAGCUUGUUCUCCUUGAAAGUAGCACAACUUUUAAUAUUUUUUUUAUUUUAAAAUUUUCAAUUCACUACUGAGGAAUCUUAAGAAAACAAAUGAAUCUGAAGUUAAAUAAGCUUCUAAUUAUGCUUUUGAAGUUAAGCUCAGGGCCAGUAUAGGAACUAAAAAGGAACAAGGAAUACGGCAUUCUGAGAUUCAAACUCAGGACCUUUCACACCCUAAGCGAGAAUCACACCACUAGACCAAAUGCCCAAUUUUUAAUGUUUAUCAUGUUUAAUUUUUAUUUAUUCUUGAUCUGAUAAACAGAUUUUUGUUAAUUUUUGUAGGACUUGUCGCAAGAGGAGCAAUGCUUUCUGGUCUUUCACAUUGAAUGCAGUUCAAUGUAUCAUACUGCUGCUGAAGUGGGAUGCCAGGGGGUCUUAAAAAUGCAUUCCAACUUUGGGUUUGAUUGAAGCUAUUUUUUUCUAAGGACAGUAGUGUUGGUUAAUUGCUUGUCCUUUUCUGUCCAUAUAUUUUUGCUUGCCUGUAAAUAGUUAUUGGUUAAAUAUUAUUGCCUGCUCUUGAAGUUUAUAUGCAUUCUGUAUAUUUGUUCCAUUUUGUUUCGCAGGUUUGAGGCAGAUUUCAAUUUUCUGAUGGCUACAAGAUUAAAGGUAUGAUGAUGAUAGCUUGCUGACCUUGAGAAUAGUACCUUUUUUAAUUUUUUUAUUUUUGCAUGUCACUGCUGAGGUAUCUUGUGAGAAAACAACUGAAUAUAAACUUAACAAACUUCUAAUUAUACAUUUAAAGUUGACUUAGUCCAGAUUAAGUAUUUGAAAUUGCAGUAUAGGGAAUUAAAAAGAAACAAGGGAUGGGGCAUUCCGAGAAUCGAACUCGGGACCUCUCGCACCCAAAGCGAG